ACCAACUCUCAGUGCAAAGAGCCCAAAAUCAUUUUCAUAAUGUUGAAUGACACUGGUUCUUGCAGAUUUGCCAAGUUUCUAAGGUCACCAUAAGGUAGAAACUUAGACUCCACAAUUGCAAGAGACUUCAGUGAUCAAGGGCAGUGAAUUAUGACUUUAGCUGUACAAUGGGGGGAUUCUUUUUUAACGCAAAGGUUGUGAUUGGAGGUGUAAUUCAACAGCAGAAUGUUUGCCCAGCAUUUUAAAGGCCCUGUGUUUGAGUCUCAGCACUGAGAAAUAAUAAAUAAACGAGAACAUUUUUAUAAAGGUUACCCUCACCAGAUCAAUUAAAUCAGAAUUCCUGGGCUAGAACCAAGUAUUAUAUAAUUCUGCUGAUUUGUGUUAAGAUUUGUGGAGAUUUGAAUGAAAAUGGACACCCCCCUCGGGUCAUAUAUUUGAAUGCUUGGUUUUUAGUUGGUAGAACUGUUUGGGAAGGAUGUUUGAAAAGUAUGGCCUUGUUGAAGGAGGUGUGUCACUGGGGUUGACUAUGAGGUUUCAAAAAGCCUGCACCAUUGCCAAUUAAUCCUCUUUGCCUCGGGCUUGUGCAUCAGAUGUGAGCACCCAGCUAUUGCUCCAGCACCAUGUCUACUGCCUGCUGUCAUGAUUUCCACCAUGAUGUCCUUUUUCAUCCUCUGAAACUGUAAGCAAGCCCCCCAGUGAAGUGCUUUCUUUAAUAAGUUGCCUUGUGUCACUUCACACCAAUACAACAGUGACUAAGACAAAAACACAACAGCUUAAUGUUUUCAUUGUCAACAAAAUUAAGUGAUAGCAUGAUUCAUAGGAGAGAAAUAAAAAGCUAUUUAAAGAACAGGACUAUGUUUUUUUCAGAGGUAGGACUCUGAAUCAGGUGCACUGGGUUCAACUCGUAGCCUGUCACUUACUUUCUGUGAACCUAGAAGACAUUACUUGGUCUCUUGUUUUCUUCAUAUUUCAAAUGAAAACAGUAGCUACCAUCUCACAAGGCAGUUGUGAGUGCUAGCUUGAAUUGUAUUGUCCAAGUGCCUCAAACUACACUUGGCAUGAUGCUCAAGUGCUGUACAAACAGUUGUUAUUACUUUCUCACAGGGCAAGCUUUUCACAGAACCAGGCUUAUACUUGAAAUUUAUGAGACAGUUUUCUGUCUCAUAAAUAGGCUUUCAUACGGGAUUCUGCCUUUGGAACAAGGGGCGCAGAAAUUAAAAACGCAUGUAUGUAUGCACAUUGGGCAAUUAAUAAUCUACAGCUUUGAUGUUAUGUCAGAAAAGAUGAAUGGUCUCAACUAUCUAGCAGAUGCCAUUCUAGGAACCAACACCUAGGACAUUAGAAAUGGCCAUGAGGAAAAUGGCUCUAGGAUUAAAAUGAAAAUCUUUUUUUUUUAUGAUGUGGAGUGUUUCAAGCAAAAUGGAAUUGCGUUUAUGAAUCUGCAUCUUAUAAAAUUAUAUUUCUAGGGGCUAAAGGGAAUUAUCAUGAGCCUUCAUUACAGUUCAAGGGAUGGGCAAUAAAAAUGCUUUCUGAGAGAGAGCAGGCAGAUGAGAAGAACAGAGAGGCUAGGUGAGCUAUCUUGACUUUUAAACAGCUAGAAGCCCCUAUAAAUUCCUCCACGACCCCAAAAGUUGGUGUUUUUAAAUUAAAUUUAAAUUACUUAACAAUUUUAUACACACUUAACCUUUUUAUUUUGUUAGUGGAUGUUGUAUUUGUUUGGUAACUUACAACAGGUUCAAAUUAGAUAUCUGAAUAUUUAUCUUCAUGAUUUAGAGUGAUUCUCACAGAGGAUGGGAUGUUCCUGAGGGACACUGGCUCCUUACCUGUAAGCAUCACUGAAGAGCUAGGCAAUGGGUCUGGAAUGGCUUCUAGCUCUGUCAAUGCAUUUUGUCAGGGUUGCCUUCUACACUUCUGAUGUGUUCAUACCGAGCAUCAUCAGAAUCUUCUAGAAGGGAAGGAGAGCUCCACUAGAGGUGUGUUCACACUGAAGGGGAGAGCUCCACUAGAGGUGUGUUCACACUGAAGGGGAGAGCUCUACUAGAGGUGUGUUCACACUGAAGGGGAGAGCUCCACUAGAGGUGUGUUCACACUGAAGGGGAGAGCUCCACUAGAGGUG
ensembl:lncRNA